GCCAAGCCUGGCCUAGACUGUCUAGAUUCAUUCCAGCUCCUUCAGUUUUUUUUUUUGUGAAAUUUGAGGACGUCCAACCGCUCAACUAGGACACCAACUGCCGAGAAGGAACGUUCAUCAUCUCCGGCGAACGAACCGGGUCAACUACCAAGAGGUCCUGGAAGACCACCCAACCGAUUUGAAUAGUUUAGUCGACGCGGAGUAGAACUGAGCUGACGGGCCGAAGUAUUGGGAUGCGUGGAAAAUUGUUUGUAAUGGACUAUCACUACUUCUGGAACGAAGGGAACGUCAAGGUCUCCAUUUAGGAAAUAAAAUCUGCCAUGAGCGUCGAUAAGAUCCUGUUAUCAUCCUUCUUCAAAACAUCUUACAAGCUUCAUUAGAAUAACACACAAAAGCUUCAUUAUUCAAACAAAAAAUAAGUUGUAACGAAAGCAAUAAACAAUUAUUAUUUUUACACAAAGAACUGUUUUAGCACUUUAAUCGAGAUAAAAAAUAUAUAGA